AAGACUGUGCUUUCAGGAAUCAUCUGUACAGUUCAUUGCUAGAGAAUUUUUCUUGAGUGGGUAUUGUACUCUUAUUGUACCCAUAAGCCAUGAGGGAGAGGUACAGUGUUCCUUACUGAGUGUGAAGCCAAUUCUUGGCAGUGUGUUUUUACUUUGUAACUGCCAUUGGUUGUUGAUGAUCUAUUUUCUAAUUAUCUGGGAGAGUGAAAAAGAAAAGGUUAUGUGAGUGGC
ensembl:snoRNA U3 Small nucleolar RNA U3